GCCGCUUUAGCUCAGUUGGUAGAGCAAUGGACUGAAAAUCCAUGUGUCCCCGGUUCGAGCCCGGGAGGUGGCA
rnacentral:tRNA from 1 species